UACUUCAUUAUUUUGGAAAAGUUAUUUGAAGAUGCACUCUACCAAAACAAUUUUUAAGAAAAAUAAAUGAUCAGACUUCAAGAAUUAAAGGAAAUUAUCCAGGAAUAUUAUACAUAAAACUCCAAGAUAAGAACAAAUGCAGCAAGCUCAUAAGGAAUUGGUGCAACCUAGAACAUUACGUUUGAGAUUUUUGAGUAUAAUUAGUAAUCUUUAUACAAAUUAUAUGAAUAGAUCCCGGAAAUUUUUUUUUUCCUUUUUAGGACCACACCUGAAGCAUAUGGAAGUUCCCAGGUUAGGGGUCUAAUUGGAGCUGCAGCUGCCAGCCUACACCAUAGCCACAGCAAACCAGAUCUGAGCCACAUCUGUGCCUCAAAUUCUUUAACCCACUGAGCUAGGCCAGGGGUCCAACCUUCAUCCUCAUGGACACACGUUGGGUUCUUAAUCUGCUGAGCCACAAUGGGAACUCUGAUCCUAAAAAUUCUUGAUGAGUUGUAAUCAGGUUAUUUCUGCUAAUAAGAAAAAUAAAAAUCAGUUGAAAAUUCUGUGAAAGAUGAAGAUCUAGUGAAAUGUUCCAAAAUGAAGCAAAUGAAUAUGUGGUAUGUUUUUAGAAAAAUAAAGCAAUCAUGUAUUAGCUGAUUCAGGAGAGAGAAGAACACCUACUAUACUUUCUAUAAAAUAUCUUUGGAUUUGUGAUAGAUAAAGGCUCUAACCAUUUCCCCAUGAAGUGGUGAUAUCUUUUUCUUUAAAAGUAUGCUGUUUUUAUAGGGUACUUUAAUUCUAUUAAAACAUUUAUCUUUCAGUGUCCCUAAAAUUUUUGUAUUUUAUUAAAAAUAGUUGUUUUUUUUUUCAGACAAUUGAAAUACCUCCUAAUUUUAUGAGUACUUAAUGAUCUUUAGUGAAGAAGAUCAUUAAUGUCUUAACUACACUCAUUUCCAAAAUAUCAGUCUUUUGGAGAAAAACUCUGCUUAUUUCGGAAAUAUCAGUCAUAAAAGCCACGUUAGUGACCCCGACCAUCCAAUAUUUUCUCAAUCUUUAAAUGUAGAUGACUUUAUGAAAGUAUUUUAUUACCAAGAAAAAUAUUUAUCUAAGAUUUAGUAAUGAAUUUCAUAUUUCAGCUGAUUUCUGUUUAAAACUCAAAAUUAAUUAAAUUACAUACAUAAUGCAUAUAGGCAUAAAUAGAACGUAUGAAACCUGUCUUGCCUAUCAUCUAUCUGAAAUUUGUUGCAUAAAAUCAAAUAAAAAUUUUUAUAAUACAUACAAGUUCAUUUGGGAAAAAAAUCAAUGAAAUGAAAAAUAAACUAUCUUGAAAUCUUAAAUAAUUGUGAUUUAAUUUUUCAUGAACUUUCUUUGUACCACUGUGUGAUAUGUUAGAAGGGAAAGCUGAACUCUCCAAUCUACAGUGAGGGCAACAAAAGACAGAGAAAUAGAGCCUAGGAGAAGGAAAAACAAUCCUUAAUUCCCAAGUUUCUACCAAGCAUCUUCUCUUAAAUAUUCUCUUCCUGAAGAGAGAACAAUCACGGUUGCUAAAACAAAACGAAACAUAAAAACCAAAAUAGUUGUAAUGCAAAAGCAGGUUAUAGGUGGUGGAUCUCUACACAAAUUUCCUGUUACUAUUCCUUCCAAGCAGAGAUUCAGGGAGAGGAGCCACUUGCACAAGCAUCUGCCCUCGGGGCACAUAAGUUUAGAGAUUCAAAACUACUCAAAAUCACUUUGAUGGAAGGUACUAGCUCCCAGAAUUAUUAGAAGAGGAAAAGCCUGAUAAAUUUUACUGUGUUGCCAAAGAAGCCUCGAUCUGACUGAUAAUAACCUCAGAAGUUCAAUCCCUAAGGCAAAUUCUUUGUCAUCAACUCCACCCACAAGGAAAAAGAUUCUGGGAGCUCUUGAGUCCCUGUCAAGGAUGUGGUCUUAGAGGAGGUCAAGGCUCAUGGAGGUUAAUAAGUAGGAGAGCUCACCUCAAAAGUCAGAAUCCCAAGCGGGUUCUACUGUUUACCUCCCAUAUCCAUCCCACUCUAAUUCCCACUUCCUAAAUGAAUGUUGUUGAAUCAAGAUCAUUGAAGUACCUAUCCCUCCUCUGCUUAGCCAAGUGCCACAAUUUAUUUAAUUCUCAACAUCAGGAGCUGGAAGUUGACUAGGGAAGCCUAUUUUGGUAAUCCUAGCUCUUGGAGCAAAAUUUCAGAUAUAAGCGUGGGCUAGCAAUUUCUUUCUGGCCAGUAGGAUGUGAGACAAAGUUCAUUGCUUCUGAGAAGAAUUGUUAUAAAAGAGACACAAGAGGAAAAAGGUCUCAAUGUUUCCAUAUGUGUCUGGAUGACAUGCUAAAAAUAUAUAAAAUCAUCUGGCUAUCAAGCUGAGGAAAAACUAAUACAGGGAGGAAGGCAAAGCCAAAUCAGAAGUUUACAGAGAAGUGGAUUCAGAGGUUACCUUCACUCAAAAUCCACUACCCUUCUGGAUUUAAUGCUUUGAGAAAUAUUUCCUUAUUUAUGUUAGCCAGGAAAAUUGAAUUUUGUUACUUGGAACACUUAAAAAAUCCUAACUGAAAAUUUUGAAGGCAUAUAUUUUACUCUUUAGACAGUCCAAACUUCAUCAUCACAUGGUAAGGAUUUGUAGUAACUUAAUGUGCAUAUUUUCUUCAUCAAAUGGCUCAAUGAGAAAAUCUGGUUCUUAUAAAUUUUAGGUCCAAAUCAACAGAACAUCUUGAAACUUAUAAUUAAUGAACUUUUUGAAUCACGUUUUAGUGUGCAAUUAUGUAUAUAUUAGGGAAAGUGUGAAAGAGAAAAAGUUGGAGAAGUGAAGGGAAGAAAAAGGAAGGAAAUGAAAGAGCAAAGAAGGCAGCCAAAUUACUCCAUAAAACUGAAUUACUUUAUCCAAAUUAGCAAGGUGGGACAUAUUAUAUUUAAACCUUGAAAACACUUUAUAUGAUAUACAUUACCAGAUGCCAAAUAGUUUGUGAAUUUUAAGGGGUAACAUUUGAAAGAAUGAAAGGUUAAUCAGGAAUUCUGCACUGAAAUGCUGGAUUAAAUGGAAUUUAAAAAGUCAAGGCUGUUAAGGGAGAUUCCAAAAUAAAGAGCUCUAGUAACAUGCUACCAAGAUAAUUUUAGGAUUCAGAGAAGCUGAUAUGAAUUGAAAAAGGAUAUAAAUGAGCUUUUUUUUCUUUCUUUCUUAAAAAACAUCUUUGAUCCUAAAGGCCACUUCUGGCCACAUUUCAUAGUUCUACUGAUGGUUGAGUAAUAUUAUGCUAAAAGGAUGGCUUUUUCAUUAAACAUAAUCCUUUCAUGAAAUUUAAACAAAAUCUAUUUUUCUUUUUUUUUGUCUUUUGUCUUUUCAGGGCCAUACCCACGGUAUAUGGAAGUUCCCAGGCUAGGGGUCUAAUUUGAGCUGUAGCCACUGGCCACAGCCACAACAAUGCUGGAUCCUUAACCCACUGAGGGAGGCUAGGAAUCAAACUGGCAACUUCAUGGUUCCUAGUUGGGUUUGUUUCUGCUGAGCCACAAUGGGAACUCCCAAAAUCUAAAUUUAAUUAUAAAAUACAAAAGUGUACAAAGUUUUAAGAGAAAAGAAAUACUUUGUAAAUUCACAGUUAAAAUAAUUAAGACAGCAUUGGGUGUUUGAAGCUGAUGAGCUCUCUCUCUUGCAAAUGCUAUCUGAUUAUCCAGGAAGAAGGAAAAUCCUCUUAUGUUUCUGAUAGCACCUAGAAUUUUGGUGGGUCAGUUAGUUUGCUGCAUAGUUACCUAUUGCAUUGCAACAAGAAAAUGAUGACAACAACAACUAGAAUUCAUGGCAUAUAUUUGCUGAAAAUCUUAAGUUCAUAAAAUGGUUAAAAUUUUGGGACAAAUCUGUUUGUAAUUGUGUAUAUGCGCAUGUGUGUUUGUUUACAGCAUUUAACAGGAAAAUGUGAGUAACACUCUUCCAGUCAAAAUUGUUAGUGUUCAUGGUCAUAAAAAAUUUACUUUGGAUUGGAAUGAAGUCCCAUAUGCUUAAAAGUAAAAUCUGAACUGGUCUUUAUUUGAAAUCUACUGCUUAAUUCAACAAAUGUACUAUUCAUUAGAGCAAAAAAUGAUCAGUGUUCUUUUUCAAAAUUUUAAGGAUAAAACAAGUUUUGUUUUCUCACACUCAUUUAAUUUUCCAUUUUUCCAUUUGGUGUCUUAAGUUAUAUAAUGCUAAUGGGACUAGAGUCUCUGCCUGAUACCUGCCUAUCUUUCUAAGAUCACAGCCUGCUUUGAGGGUACCUAGGAAUUUGUCUUUGGAAGGCUCUUAACAGAGAACAAAUUCAAGUCCCAUUAAUGGUCUUGCUCAAUUAGUGGCAUAUGUUUCAGAAUUCAUGGCAUACUGCCCUCAGUUAAAUGGAAGCUACUAUAUUUCAAGUUCGACUAGAGUUUAGCAGAAACUAGAAAAUUGUGCCAUGCUUCAUUAUGGGCCAAAAAGGGACACUUUAAUCAUAAAAUCAUAAUAUUAUUUCAGAACUUGAUCUGAAUCUGAUCUUAUAUUGUAUACAUGCUAUAUAUUAUAUUUGAAAACAAGCAGAAAUUAGCAAAUUUUUUAAGUCAAAUAAGUCCCUAAUAUCAGAAGUACUCAAAUAUCUUAGAAUCUGGCAUUAAAAACAAAAUCAAGUUCAAUUACUAUUUAUUAUUUAUCUAUCUCAGAUCAGUUUUAAAAAUGUGCUACCACUGUUAUUUCUCUAACAAAAGCAAUUUCAAUAAUAUUUAACAUGUACUGAAUCUUUAUAAUUUUCUAGACCCUGAGCGAAAUGUAUUUUUCCAUUUCACUUAUCCUCCAAACAAUAUUGAGUUCUCUAUUGAUCCUUCCUAGAUUACAAAAGAAGAAUCUGGAAAAGAAAUUUACAAAGGCUAAGAAAAUUGUUCAAAAUACUCAAUAAAUGGCAGGGACUAUUUCAAACCCAGAUCUGACUAAUUUCCUAAUCCAUGUUCUUAUUGAUUCUGGCUUAGUAUUUUCCUCUGCUUAUAGCUAGAUGUUUACAACAACUUUCUAAAAUAGUUCCCACUGAAAAAUCUACAAACUACUAUCAGGUUAUUUCCCAAAUGUGUUUCUUGUCAGCUUCUCUGGAACUUUUCCUAGCUUCCCACUGGCUGUCUGAUUACAGAAAAUUUUCAUCUCUACAUUCACAUUCCUCUCUCUAUUGUCCCCAAACUCCUGUCUUACCACUCCCACAGCCAUCACCUCUUCUUUGACCUGCCCCAACUACUUCAUAUUCUCUGGGCAAGGUCAGGAUUUUCUCUCUUCUCUGAUUCACUCUCCAGGGUUCUGGCUUUUGAGGUCAUACUUCAUCAAAGGCCUUUCCCAAUAUAGCAUCUUUCCCAUGAAAUUUUUUUCUGAUGUCCUUCUACCUGCUAUCUUUCAACCUCCCUCAAUUUCUAUAACCUUUCAUGUCCCACAUUUCUUUGACUUUCCAUUCACUGCCUUGUUGAUACUAAGUAUUACUGAAUAUACAUUAUUUGAAUAAUGCUGAUAAAUUAACUGCAGAACCUCAGACCUGUGUCCAUAUAUUUUGUCAACUCAAAAUAAAUAAAUAAAUAAAUAAAAGAAACCCACAAAAGUGAGAGUUGUGAUUUAAGUUUAUUUUUAAUUUUUUACUUUUUGGCUGUGUCUGCGGCAUGUGAUAGUUACCAGGCCAAGAAUCAAACUUAGGCCACAGCACUAACCUGAACCACAGCAGAGACAAUGCUGGAUCCUUAACCUGCUA
rnacentral:lncRNA from 1 species